AGAGUUUGGAUCCUGGCUCAGAUUGAACGCUGGCGGCAUGCCUUACACAUGCAAGUCGAACGGCAGCACGGGAGCAAUCCUGGUGGCGAGUGGCGAACGGGUGAGUAAUAUAUCGGAACGUGCCCAGUCGUGGGGGAUAACGUAGAGAAAUUUACGCUAAUACCGCAUACGAUCUACGGAUGAAAGCGGGGGACUUCGCAAGGAGCCUCGCGCGAUUGGAGCGGCUGAUAUCAGAUUAGGUUGUUGGUGAGGUAAAAGCUCACCAAGCCGACGAUCUGUAGCUGGUUUGAGAGAACGACCAGCCACACUGGGACUGAGACACGGCCCAGACUCCUACGGGAGGCAGCAGUGGGGAAUUUUGGACAAUGGGCGAAAGCCUGAUCCAGCAAUGCCGCGUGCAGGAAGAAGGCCUUCGGGUUGUAAACUGCUUUUGUACGGAACGAAAAGGUCUGCCCUAAUACGGCGGGCCCAUGACGGUACCGUAAGAAUAAGCACCGGCUAACUACGUGCCAGCAGCCGCGGUAAUACGUAGGGUGCGAGCGUUAAUCGGAAUUACUGGGCGUAACAGCGUGCGCAGGCGGUGAUGUAAGACAGUUGU
rnacentral:rRNA from 1 species